rnacentral:rRNA from 1 species
CACCUCUAGCAAACUAGACAUGUAUUAGAGGCACUGCCUGCCCAGUGAUUUUAUUCAACGGCCGCGGUAUUCUGACCGUGCAAAGGUAGCAUAAUCACUUGUCCUUUAAAUAAGGACUAGUAUGAACGGCAUCACGAAAGCCUAACUGUCUCCUUUACUUAGUCAAUGAAACUGAUCUCCCCGUACAAAAGCGGGGAUACAAUAACAAGACGAGAAGACCCUAUGGAACUUAAAACACACAACCACUUUAAUAAAACAUAUUAAAAUAACUGGACAUAUUGUUUUUGGUUGGGGCGACCGCGGAGAAAACUUAACCUCCGAGAAACACUACUAAGAUAAACACAACAAAGUACAAAAAACUUUGAACUACAUGACCCAAUAAAUUUGAUCAACGAACCAAGCUACCCUAGGGAUAACAGCGCAAUCUUCUCCAAGAGUCCCUAUCACCAAGAAGGUUUACGACCUCGAUGUUGGAUCAGGAUAUCCUGACAGUGCAGCCGCCGUCAAAGGUUUGUUUGUUCAACAAUUAAAAUCCU